AGCGAACGCUGGCGGCAGGCUUAACACAUGCAAGUCGAGCGGGCGUAGCAAUACGUCAGCGGCAGACGGGUGAGUAACGCGUGGGAACGUACCUUUUGGUUCGGAACAACACAGGGAAACUUGUGCUAAUACCGGAUAAGCCCUUACGGGGAAAGAUUUAUCGCCGAAAGAUCGGCCCGCGUCUGAUUAGCUAGUUGGUGAGGCAACGGCUCACCAAGGCGACGAUCAGUAGCUGGUCUGAGAGGAUGAUCAGCCACAUUGGGACUGAGACACGGCCCAAACUCCUACGGGAGGCAGCAGUGGGGAAUAUUGGACAAUGGGCGCAAGCCUGAUCCAGCCAUGCCGCGUGAGUGAUGAAGGCCCUAGGGUUGUAAAGCUCUUUUGUGCGGGAAGAUAAUGACGGUACCGCAAGAAUAAGCCCCGGCUAACUUCGUGCCAGCAGCCGCGGUAA
rnacentral:rRNA from 1 species